rnacentral:rRNA from 1 species
CAUGUAAUUUAAUUCGAUGCAAAGUAAAAAACCUUACUAGAAAUUGACAUGUUAGGAAUAUGGAUGGUGCAUGAUUGUCGUUGUCUCAUGUCAUAAGGUGUUGGAUUUAGUUCCACAACAAGCACACCCAUCGUGUUCAAUUACAAUCAUUUUGUUUAGAACCCUAAAUGGAUUGUCGGUGAAAAGUAAGAAGAAAGUGAAGAUGACAUCAAGCCCUAAUGGCGUAGGAAUAUUUCAUG